UGGUGUUUGGCGCACUGGUGCUGGAGUCUUUUCAAAUCGAGGUGAUCCGAAAAGAUUUUUUUGGAAUUUCCAUUGGAGCGUUACUCUAGGUACGGUGCAAUAAUGAUUCUAUCGGUUGUCAGUCACCUUUAGCCGCCUGCCAUGAUGAGUGGGCCACGCGACGGUUAUAGAUCGGCCAGAGGAGAUCUGCAGUCAUUAUUGCGUCGGACCCCGUUGUCUAUUUAAACCCGCUAUCCUCCUUCAGGGAUUUCACUUUGCCUGAGGUU
rnacentral:lncRNA from 1 species